ensembl:lncRNA
GGUGGGGGCGCGCGGGAGGAAGCGGCCUCCGGGGGUCGGGCUGGUGCCUGGCGCCCUGGGACCCGCAGGGCCGCGGCCCCGACGAGGCUGUGCGCCCGGGCCGGAGUGCGGGCGGGCCCCGGCGGCGCGGGGCGAGGAGCGUGUCACCUCUGUGUCCUUGGCCGGCGGUGGCCCUCGGCCUCCGAGUUCCGCAGGAGGGCUGGCCGCUGCCUCCUGGUGGGCGGGGCCGGGGGCCGGGGCGGCGGGGGCCUCGCGUGCGGGCCGCGGCCGCCGGGAGAAUGAAUGGGCGUCCGCCGCGGGCGGAGAUGCCGCCUCCCUGGCGCCCAGCUCCGAAGUCGCGCCCGCGUCCGGCGGUGCCCGAAAGCCCGGCGGCCGUGCGAGGAGACGCGCAGGCAGCUCUGACGUUAACCCCGGGUCGCGUGGAGUGGAGAAAGUGAAGCGGGCUCGCGGCCGCUGUCCGCGCGGCGCCGGCUCGGGGGCGGCGUGUCGGGCGGGCGGCGGCGCCGCGGGUCCCGCGAGGGCGUCAGCUUUCCUCGGCGCGGCUGCUCGCCUUGUUGUUUCAAACUUCCCGAGUGUUUCAGAGUGACGCCUUGACCGCUUCUAAAUUCGUGAGAAAGUCGCGUUUAAAGCGUGUUGCUUGGGGACGGACAGUCAGAGUUGGUGUCGGGAGGAGACGUAACCCUUUUUGGAUGGUUACUUUGCAGCGACAGCUAGAAGGCAUUUUUCCUGCCUUGAAGCGGGCUGAGUCCCCCUCCUGCCCGCUGCACUGAAGCUGCUGAAUUUGAGAGGCUCGGGGAUUUUGCAAGUUUGAGGGAAACAAAAACACCUUUUUUUGUAAAAAAGAGAAACUUUGUACAUCACUAAGCUUAGACUUUAUAGUCUGAAGAGAUCAAUGUUAUACAGGUUGGUCUCAAAAAAGGGCGUUUUGUUCCUGUAAGCGUUAGCUGGAGUUCCUUGGUUUAGAGCACAGCGCCCUAGAUCCUCGAUCCCGUUCCUGCAAUAGCUGACACAGCGAUAGCCGUCGACUCUGGGAGUGGUCCAGUGUGAGGGGCUCCAAACCAGCGUUUCACCUGCAGGGCCUGAUUCAUUGAAUCGUGAAAUCAUUUUCACUGGGUGGUGAUCAUAAUCUUUAAAAAAUAGAGUAGAAGAUAUUAGUGUUAUAUGAAACUAUCGGUUCAGUCAUAUGCGUAUAUAUUCCUGCAAAAUAGCUUUCUCAGGGUGAGUGUCAAAAAAGUUUGAAAAAUAGUCUUUCUAAAGGUUAUUUUUCUCGUUUGUAGUGCUGGUCUUCUCCAAGAAGUGUUAAAAACAGCCCUGCUUAUUUAUAUUUGGUGGAACAUGUUCCCCUCACUUUAGUUUUUGGGAGUUGGGGAAAUAAAUUUGCUAUCAAUGACCAGCAUGCAUCUUAAUCGCUUAAUCUUUUUUUUUUUUUUUUGAGGAAUAUUAGCCCUGAGCUAACAUCUGCUGCCAAUCCUCCUCUCUUUGCUGAGGAAGACUGGCCCUGAGCUAACAUCCGUGCCCAUCUUCCUCUCCUUUAUAUAUAGGAUGCCUGCCACAGCAUGGCUUGACAAGCGGUGCCAUGUCUGCACCCGGGAUCCGAACCGGUGAACCCCGGACCGCGAGAAGCCAAGCGUGCACACUUCACCGCCUCACCACCGGGCCCACGCCUCACUUAAUAUUUUUAAUAGUCUGAGAAGCUUUUAUUUAGACAGUGAAGGAUCUUCUCCAUCCCAGAGUAUUAAUUGCCAAUGCUUUUUCCACGUCUAGAUGAGAGUAGAAGAAUCUGGAUCCCCAGUAGUGAGUUGUCAGCAUUGCCUUCUGUGACGUCAGGAUUAGAGUAAAGGAGGCCUGGUCACUGUGUGUGCUUUGCCUGUGCAGGUGUUCUAAGCAUUGCACAAUCACUUGAGUGGACUUCAUGAAAUACCAGAUAAAAUUGAGUCGUUCUUUUUUGAUACUAAGUCUUUGGAAUCUAGAGUGUAUUUUAUGGUUCGAGCACACCUCACUUUGGGCUAGUUGCAUUUCCAGUGCUCAAUAGUGACGUGGUUAAUGGCUACCAAGUGGAUAGUGCAAUUGGAGUGAAUUGUCUAGCUGCUUUUCAAAAAUUAGAUUUCUCCAGCUGAGUAUUUGCAGUUUCACAUUAACAGCCACAAGUGUUCCCUGUCUGUCCAUAGCCUUCUCUCAAAUGUGAGGAAAUUGCAUCAGGUGAUUCCUCAGGCUGUUUCUGGAUCUAAGAUUUAGGUAUUCUGAGGCAACUGACAACUACACUUUUGUUAAGUAUUACUUUUUGCUUCUCUAGGACUAUUUUAAGAGAGUUUAGAUCAUCUGUUUUAAAAUGACAGUAACAAUACGAUUUGGAGGCAUUUUGUUGUUUGUUAAGUAGUUAUCCUUUGCUCUGUCAUGAAGUUACACUAUGUGUUCACUUGAGAAUCCCUUCUCUCCCCUAUUUUUAAUUUGGUUAAUUACAUGAUUGCCUACUGCAUAAGAGAGAACAUUUGUCUUAGUGAAUUCACUCUUAAUACAGUGUAGACUGAAUUUUCUGCUAGGGAUAUAGUUAAUUGUAGGAAACUGGAAUUUAGAUUAAAUAAAUAGAACCUACUUUUUCUUGGCUUUGGGGGAUGUGUAGAUUAUACAGUAGGUUUUCAACCUGAGAAAAUAUCAGUAUAAUGAAGAAUAGGGAGGCCGAGAAUUUUAAAGGAUUGAGAAGUAAUGGUGUAUAUCUAAUGACCAUUAAGCAGAACAGGUCACUGAAGUGGAAUACUCUGCCUUACCAUAAAUAUUUGUGUGCAUUAUGGGGUUUGUAGCAGAAUUUACUUUUCUUAGGUAUAUGGAGGGAGCACACAAUGCACCUGUAGCACAGAAGUUGGCCCCAGGUUAGCAGUUUACAUUGGAAGGUUUAGGAAGGAAUACUGGGCAUUGACUUGGCACUAGCUACCUUUUUAAAAAAAUCUCAGUUUAGAUAAUUUGAUCCAGUCGAGAGCGUGCUGCACACCUGCUGGGUGUCUUAAGAAUGAAUCAAUCACAGGAGUUGGUCGUUUGGAAAACAUCAUCUAGUACUUACCUGUGUUUUAGGGCAAUGUUGGUGGAAUAAGAAAUCAAGAUCUUACAUUUGAUUUAGGUUAACUUUCAUUAGUGAAAGUCUAAAAACUGGACCUUGUCAAUUUCACAUGUCAACUUACAUUGAUGGGGUGAUCCACUGCUAAAAAUAUUCCAUACGCUCUGUGAAAAGAAGCAAAAUACUGUUAGAGAGUUUGCUUAGUAGUGAUGUUUUAAUAUUCAGUCAGCAUCAUCAGAUAAAUAAUUUCAUUGAUGUUCAACUGAGUAUUUGAGAUUGAAGGACAUCUAUUAAGUGGCCAAUGUUCUAAUUUUGAUUUGUAUUUGUCAGCGAGUGAAACUGAAUGAUGAGACUGAAGAAAAUAUUUUAUUUGUAAGGAAGUUUGGCAAAAGUGAAAUUUAUACAACCAUAAGAUGGCAUAUGAAUAAAGGUGUUUAAAAAUAAAACUUGGCUGAGCUACUUUGUUUAUAGGAGUAUGUCAAUUAAUGUAAAAGGUAGGAAAUUUGACUUCUGGCAAAACAACGUUUUCGCUCAGAAGUGAAAAUCAGCCUCUUAAUAGGUAUUAAGUAUGUAAAAGAUAGAGUAUGCCUCCUUCUGGACUAAGUUAGUUUAGCAUAUUUUAAGAAUUUAGAAGCUAGUUUAAAAUACUAUCUUAGUAAAAUUGAUAAAUGCAAAGGUGAAAUUUAUAUAUUCUACUUCGUUAAUAUGUAGCCUUCACAGUGUAUAUUCAAAUGUGUUUUUAGGACUAUGACACUUAACCACCUUUUGGUCAUAGACUUCUUUGCAAGAGUGAUAAAAACUAUGGACUAGUGUAGAAAAAUUCUAUACACAAUUUCUGGGGCUUACUGAAGGCCAUUGUGGAUGCAGGUUAAGAACCCUGACUUUAAGGUGUUGACUAUACAAAUAUGUUAAACAUGAUAUGAUACACACUGUCAUUUUCUAAAAUAUAAGUGGAUUUUAGAAUGUGAGUGUUAGUUAUGGACCCUUGAUAUAAACACAAAUUUAGACAAACAACCUCAUUCAUAAUUAAUAAGUAGAUUUGCCUCUUUAUAGCACAUUUUAAAUUGGCAUAACAUUAUUUUAAAUUGAAGAUAAAUGUUUUUGACUGUCACAAGUUUAUCUGGGAAAGUAAGACUACUGUUUUAGUUUCUCAGAUUGAUUUGUUAAGAUGAAUAGUUCUGUUUGUUAAGUAUUUCUGGAUCAUUAAGAUAUUUUGUAUGUGUUUCUAGUCCUCCGAUCAGCCCCAGGAGGUAUGGAUGUUACCUUUCCCCGAUUGGAGAUGAGAGAACCAAACCUUGGAGUUUAUGUAACUUGCCCAAGAUCACAGCCACUAAGUAGCUGCUUGACCCCAAAGCCAUUGCCUAUACUGGUGUGUUGACCUGAAAUCAGUUUCUUAGAGUAUAUUUUGUUCAAGUUGAAUUAUGACUUUUAAUCACCAUAGUUUUUAAUGGUGAGGAGAGUAGUUCUAGCUUCAGAUUGAGUUAGUAUGUGAAUAAAGAUAGAAAGUAGAUGUAAAAGUAUGUUAUUUUUUUAAGAAGAAUUAUCUGAAAGAACAAAUUCAGGUAGUUUUAACUAACAGCAUCUUGUUUAAGAUGCUGUUAAAAAUGUAAUAUUGCCCGUUGCAGCUCAAGAUACUGAGCAUCCACAUCUACUAUGUACUUGACUCUUUUUUAUUGUAUCGAAUCCCUCUUAAUAGCUCUAAGAUUUGUCUGAUUUUUGUAAACUAAAAUAACAAAGGCUCAGAGAUUACAUGGUAUGUCUAAAGAUGUGGUAAAUUCAGAGCCAGGAUUCAAACCAGGUGUCUGAUUCUGAAGUACGGUUUAACUGUAGAGGGAAAAAUCUCAAGAACUGAAAAUACGCUGACUAGUUAAUCCUACUCCUCUCUUUUUCCCAGUAGUCAAGCAUCUUAUAGUUGUGAUCAGAGAACAGGUGAGGGUUUUUACAGUCUUAUUUCUUAAUGAACAUUUCCAUGGGUCCUCAUAAUCUGUAAGUUCUAGUAUAUGGAUUGUGUUCUCUGUUUCUGAAAGCUUGCUUAAUUAAACAUUGCUUCUCAGCUGUUAGAUUUUAGUAUCUAAAAAUUUGUUGUAAUCAGUACUUCCUUAAAAACUGCAGGCUGAGAACCAUCAGUGGAUGGUAAAAUCAAUUUGUUAUGUAUAAGAAAAUAGAAAAUACAAGAGAGAGUAAGGGAUAGUGUUGAUUUGUGAACAAUAUAAGGAUUAUAUUAAUAUUACUUGUUUAUAGACAUGUAUAAGUACUGUUUAGAAAUAUAAAAUACUUUUCUUGGUGUGGAUCAUGGAAAGGUAGAAACUGCUGCUCUAAGAAUAGCGAUGCUACAUAGUAGAUAUCUGGUCUUGCUCCUCACCCAUAAACAUCCAACUUUUAGAUUACAUUUGUGUAUGUAUCCCCCAAAACUGAGCGUUUUAGUAGUCUUAGGUAUGUAAGUUGCCAGAUUGCUUUUCUACCAAUAUGGUACCUUUUUACAUGGCUGGAUCAAGAAAACUAGUACAAAGUAAGCAUGCCACACUCACCAAGAUUGAAUAAUGAAUACAUUUGGACUCGACGUUUAUUUCAUUUUCUAUUACUCUGAUAAAGAUUCAGACACGUUUUAAUUGAGAAAAUUGGUCCGGAGUUGAGGGUUGGGGUAGAAGUGCCGGCGUUCCACUGUACCAGCGGUUUCACUGUUGGCUGUUAUUCUUCUAAAAAUAAGAACUGUCCUGGUUCUAGGGUAAGAUUUUAGUUUGUAAAGGCUUGACUUUUUAGGGACAGUUGUCUGCAUCUUCAUACCUUGAAUCGUCCAGCCUUGCAGAAUUGAAAGGGCCUCAGGUAUAGUAAGUUUGGAGAUUCAGUGCUAUCUCCUGUAAUUUGGGGCAAGUUAGUAAAAUUUUUAGCACCAGUUUCACCUUGUAACAUAGAGAUGAUGAGACUAUCAAAUAACGUGGCACCCAUGAAGGGCUUGACAUGGGGCCUUAUGUAUGUUGGAUGUGUGGUAAACCUUAUUCUUACAGAUCAUUUAGUCCAAUGUGAUGAUGUUACAGCUGGGAAAGCUGAGGGGCUAGAAGAUCUCAGUUGCUUACACCAGGUUUCAGUGGCAGUGAGUGAGCAGGGCCAGGAUUUGAACCUUGGUUUUUUUUUUCACUCUAAAUGAGUAAUGCUGCUAUGAACAUUCACGUACAAGUUUUUCUGUUUAAUUCUCUUGGGAAUAUACCUAUGAGUAGAAUUACUGAGUCAUGUGAUAACUAUUUAACUUAUCAAUGAACUGCUAAAUUUUUCCAAAGCACCUGCAUCAUUUUACAUGCCCACCAACAGUAUAUGAGGGUUCUGAUUUCUCCACAUCCUUGCCACCACUUACUUGUCUUUUUGAUCUGUCUUUUUGAUUAUAGCCAGCCCAGUGGGUCUGGUUUUCCGUAAUAACUGAUAAAUGAUGUUGAGCAUCUUUGUAUAUACUUAUUGGCCAUUUGUGCUUAUGAACCAUAUUUUUGGAGAAAUGUCCAUUCAAAUCUUUUGCCCUUUUAAAAAAUAGGUUGUCUUAAGUUACUUUUACAUAUGGUGUGAGGUAGGGGUCCAAAUUCUUUUGCAUAUGGAUAUCUGGUUGUCCUGACACCAUUUGUUGAAAAAAGUGUUCUUUCCCCAUUGACUUGUUGUGGUACUCUUGUUAAGAUGAAUUGACCCAAUAUAUGGGGUUUAUUUCUGGACUUUCAAUUCUAUUUCAUUGAGUUAUUUGUCAUGAGUGUUUUUGAUUACAUGUUUUGGUUACUAAGUCACUACUUAGUAACUUUAUUCAGCAUUAAAUUUAGUGUAUUUUUUUAAAAAAAUAAAUCUUUAUGGUAGCUACCUGUUAAAUAUGAAGUCUAAGUUGAAGACUAAUAUUUAAUAUGGUUUAGGUUAAUUUGAGUCCUAAGAUUUUGAUUAUAAAACGAAAUUGAUCAUAUUGCUUUGUUCAGAGGGUAUUGGACCAAGGUGUUAAGUCCCUGGGUCCCUGCCUUUGAUUAUCACAGCACCUUUUUAGCUAAAAGAGGGAACCUGACCCUGACUCAGAUCCAGCAGAUUAUCUUUGAUUUUCUGUUAAUAAGACCACUUAGUGUUUGGUGGCAUGGAAUACAGGAGUUAGGUUAAUUUAAAAAUUAGAUUCUCUUUGUGUGUUUGCUUUUUAUCAUCCCAUUGUACAUUAGUGCAUUUAAUCAUGGAUUAUGCAUGAUGUAUGGGAUUUUUGGGUUUUGAAUCAUUAGAUUUCAUUAGAGGCUCUUCUUUUCCUUUGUAAUGGGUUUUUUUGGCUUCUCAAGGAAUGAUAAGUGAUUUCAUUUCUAGUAACUGUAAGAAAACCAAAAGUUGAUAAUAGUUAAGUAAGAGUUGUGGUAAGAAGGUGAUUUCUGAAUCUUGUGAAUAUAUGGCAUUAGGAGUGGAUUCAAGUAUUUUAAAUAAUAAUAACCAACUAUAGGAAAUGAAAGCACCGCAUAGAUCAUACAUGUAACUACAAGUUAAAUUGUUGAUUUUUAGAAGAUUUGUUCAGUUAAACUUAUGUUCAAGUUAAGUGAAUGAAAAUGGCCUAAUACUAUUUUUCUCCUUAAUCACACAGGGAACCAGGAUUACCAGGAGAAAGCCUUCCUGUGGUGCUCAGCUGUGGUCCCUUUUCAACGUUCACCCUUGACGUUCUCUUCACUGUGGGAUGAGGUAGUAGGUUGUAUAGUUUUAGGGUCACACCCACCACUGGGAGAUAACUAUACAAUCUACUGUCUUUCCUAACGUGAUAGAAAAAUCUGCAUCCCAGCAGCCUCAUAGAAAGCUAAUAUAACUAGUUGUACAAUAUUUAGGAUUAACUUGUGUAAACCUGCUGUAGUGCAGCAUUUCUUUAUGGUGUGCAAGUUGCUUAUUCUUUUAGAGAGAAAAAACUUUAGCAAGUAGACUGGAUGGGGGUGCGGAUACUUUUUACUUCACAUUUCCGUAUGUCAGAAUAAGUGUAUAUUUUAUUUUGAUUGAUACUGUUGAUUUUGUGUUGUGUUUCCUUUUGAAAUAGAUGUGCUCUCCGUUCCAGAAGAAAAGAUUGCUCUGUCGGAGUGAGGUAGUAGAUUGUAUAGUUGUGGGGUAGUGAUUUUACCCUGUUCAGGAGAUAACUAUACAAUCUAUUGCCUUCCCUGAGGAGUGGACUUGCUGCAUUUUGUUUUUAUCUAGAUAGUAUUAAAACUCAGAAGAAUUAAUUUUGACAUUGUUUUGUAUUUACAGUUUGUUUACGCUAAGUGCUAAUUUUCUCUGUUCAAGUAUAGUGUACCUGUAAUAGACACAGUGAUCUAAGUUUUUAAUUUUCACAUAUGGUAUAUGUCAGAAAUCUGAAAUUAAGCAGAAAUCUCCAAGAGUGAAGAAGGUGAUCUUCAGGAAAUCUUAAUGGGGACUGGGCCCUUUUGGAAUUGUGAGUUGGUUUACUGCACUGCCUGCUGCUGCCUGUGUCCGGGGUGAGACCUGGGCGGUAAAGGUAAAUGCAACUGAAAAGACCCUGAGCUAAAACGGCGUCAGGGUGAUUGUGGUUCACGGCCCAGUUUGGGUUUGGGGUGGCCUUGGGCAGUGUGUAACCGCUUCUUCAUUGGUGUGUUGUUUUGGACGGCUUCACUCUCCAGCCUGGAAAAGGAGAGAUGGGCUCUGCGUUCUACCUAUGCUCCCUCGGAUGUCACGAAGACCUCACCUUUGCCCCAAAACCUGAAGUGGUCCUUCAUUCACAAAGGGGCAUCCCCUGAAGCUGACAGAUGGGGAAAUCCAUAGUUUAUUGUUUUAAAGAAAAUAUGAGGAUGAUGCUAGAAAGGCUUACUGGAGUUUUAACACCCAUGAUGGCCCAUGUCUCAGCUUUCUUCCAGUGGCCAAAUCACAUGCUGCCUGGCUCUUAUAAUCAAGCAAGGCGAAAAGCUCCCUGUUUUAAGUGCUUGCAGUUUAUUUUAUUUUGGGAGAAGAAAAAAGGCAAAAUGUGGAGGUGAAGGAGAGGUGACCUCUUCCCAAAUAUUUCCAUUGAUCAUGAAUCUUAAUAUCUAAGAUAACCACAGUGUAUGCUAUUGGCAGUAGGAACUUGGCGUGAGAGAAACAUCAAAUUCUCUCUUGGAUGGGCCCAACCCAGAUGAGUUAUCCUGGGUCAGAUUUUUGCCUUGUUUUAUCCCUGGCAUACAAAUGGACACUUACGUGAUCCAGAAUUGGUCUGUCUUAUAAACUGGACAUGUAAAUAUUGGGGGAAAUAAUCAUUUUUACAUUCAUUGCCUUUUGGUGUGCCAAAGAAAAGUGGGAAUGUUUGAGAAAUUCUUUGGCUUAAUCUUUGUUAAACCGACAAGUUAGAUGACUCUCCUCUUCAUUGUGUGGCCAGUACAGUCGUGGAGUUUUGUGGUUUCCCAAUAUUUCCCUACAUUUUGUAAAAAACACUUGAGUACCUUUAUGUGGAGAAUGUGACAGUCUCUAAAAGCUUGUUUUUGAUGGCAACAUCAAAAAUUGUGGUACCAAUUUGCUUCCAUUUAUUCAUUCAAAGGUCAAAAACUUAAAUACUUGGGUCCAAGAGGAGCUGGCUGUAACUAGGAAACAUCUACAGGGCACAGGCAGUAAGUUAAUUUGUACCAGUUGAUGGUGGCAAGCAGGAUAUUUAUACAUAGUGUCACCUAAUUUUCCAGUUUAUCAAGAGGGAGAUUUUAUGAAAUUUGAUAUUUAAAUUUUCGUGCAAAGUUUAAUGUUUUAAAAAGUCUGUGACUCCAACAGUGUAUCAUGGGCUGGGUAUUAGGCUUCUGGUUUGCAUCCUCUGACAUAAUUGAAUUACUUACUGUUCCUUUGUAACGAGGUUUGAUUUUAAGCAAAUGAAGUUGUGGUUUUUAACCAAGGUCUUAUGGCCAGGAACUUUUUAAAAGCAUCAGUGAAAGAAUUCCAUUUGGUUUGAAUUUGAAAUAAAACCCAAAGAAUAUGGCCUAAUUUAACAGGUUAAUUUGAAGUGCAUCUGCCAAGUAGAAGACCGGCAAGAAAAAAAAUGGGUUCCUAGGAAGAGGUAGUAGGUUGCAUAGUUUUAGGGCAGGGAUUUUGCCCACAAGGAGAUAACUAUACGACCUGCUGCCUUUCUUAGGGCCUGAUUAUUCCACGGUCACCUGUUUCCUUGCUGCCUUGCUUUGGUGUAAGCAGAGUUCCUUCUGCAGGUUUUCUCAUAAAUGAAAACAUUGCAGGAAUACCAAAGGAAGCAAUACUUGCAUUCGUGGUUUAUGAACAGCAGCAUGGUACCAGCGUUGAUUACUAAGUCAUCCGAUGAGAAUUUAAGGCUUCUGAAGUGUACCUAGUUGCUUAUGUGUCUCACUGAGGGUUGCUGGGAGUUUUGGAGAGUAUUGUUUUUUAUUUUUGUCAAGUUCCUUUUUCUGAUCUGGAGACUGCCAGCUCUUUUCCCCUCAGUAGCCUCUGUUAGACCUGAAAGAUGUUUAACAAUACUAUUGAAAUAUUUUGCUGUACAAAAAUAUUUUCCUACACUGUAUUUGUAAAUAUUUAUCUUGCUAAGUUUCUGGGUUUCUUUGUCUUCUGGACUUGAAAUGUGGGUCAGUUCUGGUGGAAUUGCAUAUUGUGGGAAUCCAUCAUUGCAUUGAGCGCCCAUUAUGGUAUGUAACCCUGUGGUUGAAUCUGUUUAAUGUGUAUGAGGCCUAGAAGGUCAACAAAAUGAAAAUGGUUGUAAGGUAGUGGAGUUACUAUAAUUUGCUAACCAUCUUUGCAAUAAAAAUACUACUUGAAAAUUGUGCUUCUUAAAUCAUUCUUAACUUUCAUCUCCAUCCUUGCAGAACUAGGUACAUUUUUUAAGUAUUUAGACUUGUUUUAAGAUCUGUUAAAGUACUCACUUUGAUUUUUUAUUAGCAGUAAUUUGCUGAUUGUACUGUCAUUCACAGAUGUAUAUUCAUGAAGCUAACUCCAGCCGUAUCCCACUCUUACAUUUUGUAAACGCUUGUGUCUUUGUACACACAAUUACAUCUGCUCAGGACACACUGCUUUCUUAAAGUAAUUCUCAUUCUUAGUCUGCUCAGGCAGACACUACCUUACAAAAACUUUCCAUUAUCUCUCCUCAGUUCCCCAGUCUGGUGCAAACAUUUGUCACAGUAAGAAUGGUGCUGAGCCUGGGAUGUGUGCAUUAGCAUUAAUUCUUUUCAAACUAUUUUGAACAGUAAUAUAUUUAAAAGACUUAGGUGAAAUGGUUGAAAGGGGAUUCAGUACAGCUUCCUAUCUUGUUCCCUCUCCUUAGAGGAUGUUCCAGUGGGAGGAAGGUCAGGAGGUGCAAUCUAGGCAUGUCCUGCUCCUCUGCCACGUGGGGCUUUAAGUUUCCUCUGUAAGUUGAGAUAGUUGGUUAUGGCUUCUAAGGCACCUUUCGCAUUGUGCAGCCCUUUAAAAUCAGAGUUUAAAGAUUUCGAUUCAUGAGUAGCAGAACUAUAUCAGUUUCAUGUACUGUACACAGAUUUGAGUGGAAAUGCAUAGGAAAAGAACAAGGAAUUGAAAGUGAUACUGGCUAUAGUAGGAUUAGGGAUGAUUUUUUAAAUCAGUAUUGCAAAUUUUCUAUAGUUUUGCUUGUAGAAGUAUUCUAAAUCUCUAACAUCUUCCUUAUUAAAGUAUUUGGACCUCACUACUUGGCCCUCAUUUUUUCCCCAUUUCAUUCAACUAACUUUCCAGAUUGUUCUUUAUGUUUCCUAGUUUGCCUUCCACUUUUGGGGAGGGGAGGGGAGGAGAGCUGAGGAGCCCUCUGGGAAUUGGACGUAAUGCCUUCAGCAGUGUUUGCUGAUUGAUUGGCCCGCCUGAAGGAAGCAUCUGCUGUGUUCUGACUCCUUGGGAAUCUGAAAUCUUGCUUAUUGCUUGAAACCCAUAAUUUAGAAUUUUAGUUUAACUUAAAGGCAUUUUUCCUUAAGAGAGCCUGAUGUAAUUUCAUUGAACUGCUGUUAUCAGAAGAAGAAGAGCGGGUUAGAUGAACUAGUGUUUUAAAUAAUGGAGGCUGCCCAGUGCUGGUAUGCAAGCAUGACCAGUGUCCUAGAUCCUUUAUACCUUUUUUUUUUCUUUGCUGAGGAAGAUUAGCCUUGAGCUAACAUCUUUGCCAGUCUUCCUCCACUUAUUAUAUGUGGGUUGCUGCCACAGCGUGGCCAACAGGUGGUGUAGGUCUGUGCCCAAGAUCCAAACCCACAAACUUAGGCUGCUGAAGGGAGCACGCAAACUUAACAACUACGCCACAGGGCCAGCCCUCUUUUUAGCUUCUCCGCCAUCUGUAGCACACCCUUUCCAUUCUCAAGGUCACGUUUUUGUCACAACAUGUCUGCUAUUAACUGGCCGUCACCCUUUUUCCAGACACAAAGAUGUAAGGGGAAGGGCAGGCGCAUUUCAGCCAUCAAAUCUGGUUGAAGUGUUUUCUCAGCAGCGUCUCCUAGUGACUCCUUUUCCACUCACCAGUUGGUGCUGUCGCCCUGCUGUGGCUGCAAGGAAGAUUGGGAAGUGGCUUACCAGGCCAAUUGCCAGGCUGAGUAGAAUUGGUUCCACUAGUAGGGAGAUGGGAGAAAGCGAAGCAAAGGGUAUUAGGAUAAAACUUGGCAUGAGGAAGACCAGUGGGCUCUGUUCCGUCCCUGCCAUUACCACUUGUGCAGCCUCAGUUGGGCAGGCCUUCCCAGCCCUCUGGGCAUGGUGAGGAAUUCUCAGCUGACUGGAGGGGUUCAGUCAGAAGGGCUGCAUGGGGCUUUUCCAUCUGAGCAGAGAGCACGUUAGGAGGCCAAUGUGCACCCUGCGAUGUGUAUUACCUCUAGCACAGAGACCCGUACAGGACUGGAACUAAACACAUCUAUUUCUCAAAUUAACAAACUAUUUAGAGCAGUUUUUGGUUCAUGGCAAAAUUAAGCAAAAGGCACAGUACACGUACACCUUGUCGCCACCCCCGCAAACUUCCCCAGUAUUGACAUCCUAACCACUGAUAUGUUUUUGGUUUGAGGGGGGUGGUUUGUGAGGAAGAUUGGCCCUGAGCUAACAUCCGUUGCCCAUCCUCUUUUUUUUUUUUUUUGCUUGAGGAAGAUUGUUGCUGAGCUAACGUCUAUGCCAGUCUUCCUCUACUUUGUCCGUGGGAUGCCUCCACAGUGUGGCUGAAGAGUGGAGUAGGUCCACACCUGGGAUACGAACCCACGAACCUCGGCCACCAAAGCGGGCCAUGGAACUUCAACCACUUGGCCAUGGGGAUGGCCCCACUGACCACAGUGAGCUGCUGCAGCCAUCUUGUGACCAUGAGAGGGACAGAGCGAGGUCACUGCCAGCCUGGAGUUCUGACAACAUUGAGCUGUUGAGCCAUUGCCAGCAUUUGCCCACCUCCACACUUCAAAUUAUGUGAGAAAAAGGAACUACCUCACAGUGUGUGGGUGUGCUGUUACUUGCAGAGGACAGCUCCCCUCACAGGAUCCUUCCUAUCUCAGGGAAGGCUAAGGAGAGGUCUUAAGUGUGCUCAAGUGAGGGACGAGUGAAGGUGCUGAGGCCAUCAGGUAGGAAGGAGCCUCUUGGCUGGGAGAAGGGUGAUAGAGACUGGAUCUCUGGCAUCUGGAGGCCACGGCAGGACCUGAACAUGAGCACAGCAUGUAGUGGGGAAAGGCUGACGCCAAAGACUAUGUUUCAGAAACCUGGGUCUUAGAAGCAGCAGCCAGCAAGGACCACGCCCGGACAGCAUGUGGACCAGACACCGCUCCCUUGUGCUGAGAUGUUAGCCCUUUGGAAACGUCACCCUCAGGGAGGAAAUGGCGCCGGGGGAGGACCUUGAAUUUGAUAGACUACUAAAACAUAAUUACCUUAAAUGGAUGACAUUUCAGUUUCCUGCAAUUAGUAGUAAUGGAGGCUCAAGAUAGAAAUAAAAAUUUUAAAGUUACAUUUUUGUGCUCCUGACUGGUAAUUGCAAAUUUUGAACUCCUACAGUUAACAAAACUGACUAUUCAUAAGUAGAGAGCUGCUUUGAUGAUAUGCAAUGAAAUCUGAUAGAGAAACAGAUUUUUUAAAGCAAACUAUACAGCUUAUUUCUCACAGGUAAUACAGAUUAAGUUUCUUGCACCAUCUCGUAAACCUAGGUAUAUUAUCCAGAGUACUUGAUAUGAGCUUGUUUCACAUGACAGGCUUGCAAGAAAUGCAACGUGUGUGUGUGCGGGCGCACAUAUACAUAUAUAUCCAGUCCUUGCUUUGCGUGGUGCCUUGUUAACAGAAACUCACGCACAUAAGAAUCAUGUCCUUUGCUUUGCCUGACAGAACCACGCUAAGUGAGAACAAGGUCCCUGUAUGAAUGAGUUUGUGUUAACACAGUACUGUGCAAAGUGAGAUCUACCUGCAUAUAUAUGGGCCCUUUGCUGCUUUAAAUAUGUCCAGCUCACUUCCCUGUCUUGCUUCCUGUUAGUCUGGGACCCAUUGGUCAUAAAUCGUCACUGGGAGAUAACCCCUCUUAACUUCGAGAUUGUAUCAUCCAGCCCAUUGGCAGCUGCUUAGGAAGCUAAAUACUAAAUCCUGAGGUGUGAUGUUUCAGCCAAGUCUGAAAGUGGAGGAGUGACUGAGCAUAGGUUGAGCACUGACCAAAAUGAGAAAGAAGGUGGUUGAGAAAGUCUAAAAAGAUGCACAAGGCUUGAGGUCCAAUACGUUGGUCUAAUGCUCCCAAGAUUAUAAAUAAACUUUUCUUAAAUAAUCUUAUGAUGGUUAUUUUAAUAUCUUGGGUACCCAAAUAUAGGGACUGGGGAGACAGGGUAUGGUGAAUGGCAGAGCAGAGGAUGUCUGAAUAGUGGGAAAAUAUAUUCCAAUUACUGAAAAAACUUCAUUGGCCUAGUGAUUAAGUUUGGCACACACUGCUUCGGCAGCCUGGGUUUGGUUCCCAGGCGCAGAUCUACACCACUCAUCUGUCAGCAACCAUGCUGUGGUGGUGGCUCACAUACAAAAAUGAAAAGAGGAAGAUUGGCAACGGUUGUUAACUCAGGGUGAAUGUUCCUCAGCAAAAACAAAAGAAAAAGAAAAAAAAUAAUAUCUGCUUGAUUGAUAAUUCUUUUGUGAUUGGGAGGAGGGUGACCUAGUCCCUAACAGAAUCAUGCAAUAGGUAGUCCUUUGAAUGUGGCUUUUAUUUAACAUAUUUUAAAGGUUCAUUCGUAUUGUAAACGUAUAUGAGUAGUUUCUCCUUUUUCAUUGCUGAAUAAUAUUUUGUUGUGUGGAUAUGUAACAUUUUGUUUAUCCUUUCACUGAUUGAUGGGCAUUUGGAGUUUUUGUAGAGUUGGCUCUUAAACAUUUGUGUACAAAUCUUUCUGUGGACAUUUGUUUUCAUUUCUCCAGGAGGAAUACUGAGGAGUGGAAUUGCUGGGUCAUAUAGUAAGUUUAUGUUUAACCUUCUAAGGAACUGCCAAGCUCGUUUCCAAAGUGGUUCUACUAUUUUACAUUCCCAGUGGUGAUAUAUGACGGUUCUAGUUUCUUUACAUCCUCACCAACACUUCAUAAUUUCUUUCUUCUUGAUUGUAGCCAUUCUGAUGGGUGUUUAGUCAUGGCUCAUUGUAGUUAUAAUUUGCGUUUCCAAAAUGAUUAAUGAUGUUAAACAUCUUUUCAUGGCUUAUUAGCCAUUUUUGUGUCAUCUUUGUUAAUAUGUUCACUUGCAUCUUUUAACCAUUACUUCAUUGGCUUAUCUUCUUAUAAUUGAGUUGUGAGGAUUCUUUAUAUAUUCUAGGUGCAAAUCCUUGGUCAGAUAUAUGCUUUCAAAUAUCUUUUCCCAGUCUGUUGCUUUUCAUUUUCUUAGUCGUGUCUUUUGAAGCACCAAAGGUUUUAAUUUUGAUCAAGUCCAAUUUAUUAGUUUUUCCUUUUAAGGACCAUGUCUUUGGUCUCAUGUAUAAGAACUCUUGGCCUUACCCAGGAUCAUGAAGAUUUUCUCCUAUGCUUUCUUCUAGGAGUUUUAUUGUAGCUCUUACAUUUAGGUCUAUGGUACAUUUUGAGUUAAAUUUUUGUGUAUAGUAUGAGGUAAUUAUCUUUUUGCUUAUGGAUAUCCAAUUGUUUCAGCACCGUUUAUUGAGAAGACUACCCUUUUCCAGUUGAAAUGGCCUGGCACCUUAAUUGAAUAUCAAUUUACCACACAUAUGAGGCUUUAUCCUUUUAUAAAAAUUUUUUUUACAGCUUUAUUGAGGUAUGAUUGACAAAAACUUAUAUAUAUUUAAGUUAUACAGUGUAGUGUUUUUUUCCCCCCUACUUCCAAGCAUAAUCUUGUUUUUCAGUUAUUUUAUUGAGGUCAUAAUGGUUUAUAACAUUGUGUAAUUUCAAGUGUACAUUAUUUAUCAGUUUCUGUAUAGACUGCAUUGUACCCACUACCAAGAGUCUAAUUUUCAUCCAUCACCAUAUAUAUGUGCCCCUUUAUCCCUUUCACCCACACCCCACCCCCUUCCUCUCUGGUUACCACUAAUCUGUUCUCUUUAUCCAUGUGUCUGUCUUCCACAUAUGAGUGCAAUCAUGAGAUGUUGGUCUUUCUCUGUCUGGCUUAUUUCACUUAACAUAAUACUCUCAAGGUCCAUCCAUGUUGUUGCAAAUGAGAUGAUUUUGUCCCUUUUUUUUUUUUUUUUGGUGAGGAAGAUUGGCCCUGAGCUACGAUCUGUUGCCAAUCAUCCUCUUUUUGCUUAAGGAAGAUUGUCACUGAGCUAACAUCUGUGCCAGUCUUCCUCUGUUUCUAUGUGGGACACUGCCAUAGCAUGCUUGAUGAGUGCUGUGUAGGUCCAUGCUCAGGAUCCAAACCUGUGAACUCCAGGCCACUGAAGUGGAACACACGAACUUAACCACUACAAAACUGGGC